UACGUAGGGUGCAAGCGUUGUCCGGAAUUAUUGGGCGUAAAGAGCGUGUAGGCGGCCACACAGGUCUGCUGUGAAAACUCGAGGCUCAACCUCGAGACGCCGAUGGAAACCAUUUGGCUAGAGUCCGGAAGAGGAGAGUGGAAUUCCUGGUGUAGCGGUGAAAUGCGCAGAUAUCAGGAAGAACACCCGUGGCUAAGGCGGCUCUCUAGUACGGUACUGACGCUGAGACGCGAAAGCGUGGGGAGCGAACAGG
rnacentral:rRNA from 1 species